AGAGUUUGAUCCUGGCUCAGAGCGAACGCUGGCGGCAGGCCUAAUACAUGCAAGUCGAACGGCUCUUCGGAGCAGUGGCGGACGGGUGAGUAACGCGUGGGAACGUGCCCUUUGGUUCGGAACAACACAGGGAAACUUGUGCUAAUACCGAAUGUGCCCUUCGGGGGAAAGAUUUAUCGCCAUUGGAGCGGCCCGCGUUGGAUUAGCUAGUUGGUGGGGUAAAGGCCCACCAAGGCUACGAUCCAUAGCUGGUCUGAGAGGAUGAUCAGCCACACUGGGACUGAGACACGGCCCAGACUCCUACGGGAGGCAGCAGUAGGGAAUCUUGCGCAAUGGGCGAAAGCCUGACGCAGCCAUGCCGCGUGAAUGAUGAAGGUCUUAGGAUUGUAAAAUUCUUUCACCGGGGAAGAUAAUGACGGUACCCGGAGAAGAAGCCCCGGCUAACUUCGUGCCAGCAGCCGCGGUAAUACGAAGGGGGCUAGCGUUGCUCGGAAUUACUGGGCGUAAAGGGCGCGUAGGCGGACAUUUAAGUCAGAGGUGAAAGCCCAGGGCUCAACCUUGGAAUUGCCUUUGAUACUGGAUGUCUUGAGUUCGGGAGAGGUGAGUGGAAUGCCGAGUGUAGAGGUGAAAUUCGUAGAUAUUCGGCGGAACACCAGUGGCGAAGGCGACUCACUGGCCCGAUACUGACGCUGAGGCGCGAAAGCGUGGGGAGCAAACAGGAUUAGAUACCCCGGUAGUCCAA
rnacentral:rRNA from 1 species